AAGUCGUAACAAGGUUUCCGUAGGUGAACCUGCGGAAGGAUCAUUACCGAAUGACCCGCGCGCCUCUUGAUCUUGAUCUUGGUGCUCAUCCCUCCUGGGGUUUGGGUGUCUUUCAAGAUGUCCUACACUACAUGCAAACCUGUCAUCGUAUGGUGCUGAACAUUUAACAUAUGUAAUACAACUUUCAACAACGGAUCUCUUGGCUCUC
rnacentral:misc_RNA from 1 species